AUUGAACGCUGGCGGCAUGCUUUACACAUGCAAGUCGAACGGUAACAGGGAGCUUGCUCCGCUGACGAGUGGCGAACGGGUGAGUAAUGCGUCGGAACGUGCCGAGUAGUGGGGGGAUAACGCAUCGAAAGGUGUGCUAACACCGCAUACGAACUGAGGUUGAAAGUGGGGGACCUUCGGGCCUCACGCUAUUCGAGCGGCCGACGUCUGAUUAGCUAGUUGGUGAGGUAAAGGCUCACCAAGGCGACGAUCAGUAGCGGGUCUGAGAGGAUGAUCCGCCACACUGGGACUGAGACACGGCCCAGACUCCUACGGGAGGCAGCAGUGGGGAAUUUUGGACAAUGGGCGCAAGCCUGAUCCAGCCAUGCCGCGUGUCUGAAGAAGGCCU
rnacentral:rRNA from 1 species